GGGAUAGACAAGAAAAGAGAGAAUGAGUUGGGUGGUAAAAGGGAAAAACGGAGACGAAACUCUAUAUCAACAAAUUUCGAUAUAGCGUCUUCCACAAAAGCAAAAACAAAGAAAACCGACACAGAGUGAGGUCUUACAAGGUCAAGAAAAGGUCUUACAAGGUCAAGAAGACACAAGUAGAGUAAAAAAAAAGUUAAGAAAAGAGAAAGGUGAAAAAAAA
rnacentral:lncRNA from 1 species